rnacentral:rRNA from 1 species
AGAGUUUGAUCCUGGCUCAGAUUGAACGCUGGCGGCAUGCCUUACACAUGCAAGUCGAACGGUAACAGGUUAAGCUGACGAGUGGCGAACGGGUGAGUAAUAUAUCGGAACGUGCCCAGUAGUGGGGGAUAGCCCGGCGAAAGCCGGAUUAAUACCGCAUACGACCUACGGGUGAAAGGGGGGGAUCGCAAGACCUCUCGCUAUUGGAGCGGCCGAUAUCAGAUUAGCUAGUUGGUGGGGUAAAAGCUCACCAAGGCGACGAUCUGUAGCUGGUCUGAGAGGACGACCAGCCACACUGGGACUGAGACACGGCCCAGACUCCUACGGGAGGCAGCAGUGGGGAAUUUUGGACAAUGGACGCAAGUCUGAUCCAGCCAUGCCGCGUGCGGGAAGAAGGCCUUCGGGUUGUAAACCGCUUUUGUCAGGGAAGAAAAGUCUCGAGUUAAUACCUUGGGAUGAUGACGGACCUAA